AUGACUUUCCACUUCUUAGACAAAAUGCUAGUUCUUGCUAAAUCUGCUGGCCAGCGCAGAAGACAAAGGAUAUGAUGUAAAAUGUGUUCAGGCAACUCAGAGAUCCUGUCCACAUUAACUGCUCUUUCAUCUGUGUUGUUGAUGAUCUCCAUCAUCUUUCCCUUUUUUCUAUCCUUUCUCUGUCUCCUGCCUUUUUGUUUCCUUUUCUUCAUUAUCUUCCCGUCUUUGGAAAAUCUAGAGACCCUGUUGUGA
rnacentral:misc_RNA from 1 species